GAUGAAGAACGUAGCAAAAUGCGAUACUUGGUGUGAAUUGCAGAAUCCCGUGAACCAUCGAGUUUUUGAGCGCAAGUUGCGCCCGAAGCCUUUUGGCCGAGGGCACGUCUGCCUGGGCGUCACGCAUCGCGUCGCCCCCCACAAUUCUCCGUAAAGGGAACAUGUGUUUUGGGGGCGGAUAUUGGUCUCCCGUGCUCAUGGCGUGGUUGGCCGAAAUAGGAGUCCUUUCGAUGGACGCACGAACUAGUGGUGGUCGUAAAAACCCUCGUCUUUUGUUUCGUGCUGUUGCUCGCAAGGUAAACUCUUUAAAAACCCCAAUGUGUCGUCUCUUGACGACGCUUCGACCGCGACCCCAGGUCAGGCGGGACUACCCGCUGAGUUUAAGCAUAUCAAUAAGCGGAGGA
rnacentral:misc_RNA from 1 species